AUUAAAUAUAUAUGAAGAUAAAAGGAGUUUAUAUGAACGGACAUAAACAAACGUAAACGAACAAUAUAAACGAACGUUCAUGAACAUAAUUGAACGAACGAGACCAUUGUUCAUGUUCGUUUAUUUAUUAAAUAAACGAACAUAAACAAACUUCCCGCCGAACAAUUCAUUGAACGUUCAGUUCGUUUACGGACUCAAAAGACAUUGUAACACAACUCUUAGUACUCUAACGUAUUGUAACACAACUCUAACAGGACCCUAAAAAGGUAUCGGAUGUAACGUUGACAUAAAAAGACAAAAAGGUGCGGCUAAGUGACCCCUCUCGGCUAACAAAAUGGAUAAAUUUGUAAUUCUUUUUUAAAAUAAAAAAAGAGUGCGCGGGAAUUUAGAAAAUAGAUACUUCUCUCAUACUCUUCCACUAUAGACCCUCUCGCUCCCCCACUAGCGUAUUGCAGAACCAUAGGUAAACCCUCUAACCUCUGUCAUCAUCAAUGGCGCCGACGAAGCGUAAAAAUGACGGGAAAGCAGACAUCGCUUCCAAGAAUCUCAAGUUAACAAGAGCGACUCGAAGGUCGACGCGCCAAGCGAGUCAUGGGGCUGCGAAGGUGGUGCUUGAGGCGGCGCCGAAGAUCAAGAAGGCUAAGCUCAGCUCCAAGGAGAAGCCUGAUACAAAGGCUAAGCCCGGUUCCAAAGAUAAGCGACAACCAAAACCUAAAACAACAGAUGAAGCAGCAGCAGCAGAAGAUCCACCGUCUAACGGCGUAAAUGGUUCAAAGACGAUCGUGAUUGAGCGCUGAAUGCAAUUUUUCUUAAUAGUCGGAAAAAUGAAGUAAAACGAGAUAACGGCGAAGGACUGAGAAACCCAAGACUAUGGAUUUCAAAUCACAAGAAAUGAAUCAACUUUUAAAAUGGGAAUGGUUAGAUUAGGGUUCUUUUUCCUGUUUGGCUGAGAGGUGUGCAAUAGGGUUUCUUAACAUAGUCUUUUGUACUCCAGCAAACAGUGCACUCAAUUAAAAAAAUGGGCUGCGAAGGUAAAGCUUGGUUUAGAGACUGCUGUAUCUGGCAUUAAUGUACUCGUCAACCCAGAAAAGAUUCUGUCCAGAGAUCUUGAAGAAUUCUUAUCUUCUUCAUCUAAAAUGAAGCAUAUAAAAACCUCAUCGAUCCCAUGUUCAAUAUCUGAGAGUAACAGUAACAGUAAAAGUGUGGAUCUUGAUUCCACUUCAGGGACAAUGAAUUGGCAGAAAGAUUUGGUUAAAGCUAUUCAUGAGUUGGUUUCAUUUUACGAAUUAAGGUUCAAUCAUGUUGUAAAAUUGGAAGAUAAUCUAUUCAAAAGCAAGAAAACAGCUCAGAUUUUUUUGCUCCAACAAGAUCGAAAAGAAAGGCUCCGUAUGAUCCAAGAGAUUAUAGCAGCCGACAUAACUGCUAAAAACUAAAAAGCAAUAGGAGGGGCAAUUUUGUAAAAAUGGUGUUGGUGGGGCAUUUUGGGGGUGUUAUCAUUCAAACCUAAAUCUCUAUAUAAUGUGUAUUUGAAUCUAUUUCUCUGUGGCGAUAAUCGUUCAGUUUUCAGUCUUUUUGAAUUCUGAGUUAUUGUAGCCUUCAUUCAUCAACCCUUAAUAGUCAUUAAGUGCUUAGUUCAUCAA